GACCCGAGUAGGUAGGGACAACUUUAUGCCCCUAUUCAGCAGGAAGAAAUUAUAGAAGAUGAGACCUUUCACCUUCAACAACCUUAAAGAUUUAAGGGUCAAAAUUGUUCAGGGGGAAAUGAAGGAGAAGGAGG